rnacentral:rRNA from 1 species
AUACGUAGGGGGCGAGCGUUGUCCGGAAUUACUGGGCGUAAAGGGUGCGUAGGUGGCACUUUAAGUUGGAUGUGAAAUCCCCGUGCUUAACAUGGGAGCUGCAUCCAAUACUGGAGAGCUAGAGUGCAGGAGAGGUAAGCGGAAUUCCUAGUGUAGCGGUGAAAUGCGUAGAUAUUAGGAGGAACACCAGUGGCGAAGGCGGCUUACUGGACUGUAACUGACACUGAGGCACGAAAGCGUGGGGAGCAAACAGGAUUAGAUACCCUGGUAGUCCACGCUGUAAACGAUGAAUACUAGGUGUAGUGGGUAUCAACUCCCUCUGUGCCGCAGCAAACGCAAUAAGUAUUCCGCCUGGGGAGUACGGCCGCAAGGUUGAAACUCAAAUGAAUUGACGGGG